rnacentral:rRNA from 1 species
GACGAACGCUGGCGGCGUGCCUAAUACAUGCAAGUAGAACGCUGAAGGAGGAGCUUGCUUCUCUGGAUGAGUUGCGAACGGGUGAGUAACGCGUAGGUAACCUGCCUGGUAGCGGGGGACAACUAUUGGAAACGAUAGCUAAUACCGCAUAAGAGUAGAUGUUGCAUGACAUUUGCUUAAAAGGUGCAAUUGCAUCACUACCAGAUGGACCUGCGUUGUAUUAGCUAGUUGGUGGGGUAACGGCUCACCAAGGCGACGAUACAUAGCCGACCUGAGAGGGUGAUCGGCCACACUGGGACUGAGACACGGCCCAGACUCCUACGGGAGGCAGCAGUAGGGAAUCUUCGGCAAUGGACGGAAGUCUGACCGAGCAACGCCGCGUGAGUGAAGAAGGUUUUCGGAUCGUAAAGCUCUGUUGUAAGAGAAGAACGAGUGUGAGAGUGGAAAGUUCACACUGUGACGGUAUCUUACCAGAAAGGGACGGCUAACUACGUG